GAUGAACGCUGGCGGCGUGCCUAAUACAUGCAAGUCGAGCGGAGCGUGGACGGGUGAGUAACAUGUGGAUAACCUCCUAUAAGACUGGGAUAACUUCGUGAAACCGGUGGUUAAACGGAAUCUUAUAGAUGGAUCCGCGCGGCAUUAGCUAGGUGGAAGGGUAACGGCUUACCAAGGCAACGAUGCCUAGCCGACCUGAGAGGGUGAUCGGCCACACUGUAACUGAGACACGGUCCAGACUCCUGCGGUAGGCAGCAGUAGGGAAUCUUCCGCAAUGGGCGAAAGCCUGACGGAGCAACGCCGCGUGUGUGAUGAAGGCCUUCGGAUUGUAAAACUCUGUUAGUAGGGAAGCGGUAUCUAACCAGAAAGCCACGGCUAACUACGUGCCAGCAGCCGCGGUAAUAC
rnacentral:rRNA from 1 species